GGCCUGAGGUUCCCAUGGAGACAUCGCCCCAUCCCAGGGGAGUCCACAGCCUGGGCACCUAAAAUGGCUGCCUCAGAGGGGCAGCGGCCAUUUUGUUCUGGCUGGGGCCUGAGGGGCAGGGGGUGAGGGUGCUGAGGUAAGCACGGAGGAGGAGAGAGGGCAGAGGGCGGCAGGGAGGAGACAGGUCAUUCCUGAGCAGACUAGGGGAAUCCUGCUCAGGGGGCAGGAAGAAUCUACUAGAAAACUGCUCUUCCCUACACCCCUUGCUGUCCCCAGAUAAAUCAUUCAUAGUGAAUCUGGAAAUGUCCCCCUCUGUUCUGACCCUCCGAAGGAAGGACAGCUGGCCAGCCGCCCCGCGCCCCCAGUAAGACUGGUAGGUAGGUGGCCCGUGUGAGGAAGGCUUGCUGUGCCACCAUGGCGGGCCUAGGGAGCAGGUGGGUCAGGCCCACAGGCCCAGAAGUCCACGCCCCGGCUGCAGCCAGACGUGGGUCUCCCGGGGCCUCCCUGGCCGGGUGGACAGGGCCUGGACCCCUCUCCUUUGUCUGCCUCCCUUGAAGGGCCCAGGCUGCCCACACUGCUCAUCUUGCCUGAAACUGCCCGAAAUGCAAAGCUGGUUGUGGUAUUCACCCACUCCACCAGCGUGAGUGUCUCUACCUCCACCCCACAGCAGAGUCUCCUCCUUCCGACUCUGAUGCUGAAGAUGGAAUCCAGGACCUCUCCUAAGCCAGGCAAGUGUUCCACCAUUGAGCUGCACUUCCCAGCCCUGCAAGCCUCCUCACCGUGUUCCACUGGGAAGAAGGAACCACAGCACAGGAGAGAGGAGCCAGGCCUCGCAGAAUCCUCCAAGGAAGUCCUUGGCACCUAGCAGGCCCCCUGUCACUCGCUGCUUCUUUCUCCUCCUCGUCCUUCGUCUGCCUAGCUCCGGGUUCUCGCCUCACCACCCCCGUCCGCGCCUGGCACUGCGCCCGGUGCGCCCCAGCCGCCGGAUCGCGCUCGCAGUCCUGACUUCGUGCCUGCCGGGCUCCGUGGCACGUGCCCCACGCGCCCCUGCCCCGUGCCGCACCCCUCCGGGCGGCCUCCGCGCCCGCCCUGACCUCCGGAGGUCGCCUGGGGACGUCGGUGGUCCGGGCUCUGAGGUGGGGGCUGCGGCGGCGGCAAGGAGAGGACGCGGCGCCUUUAAGGUGCCACCGCCGCGUGGCAGGGAGACAGCUUGUGCCAGCCCCAUUCCGCCCGGCUCCGCUCGCGACGAGAAACACAAUGCAUAACAAUCAGGCGCGCGCUUGGAGCUGUGCCACGCGGCGGGCGGGCGG
rnacentral:lncRNA from 1 species